GACGAACGCUGGCGGCGUGCCUAAUACAUGCAAGUCGAGCGAAUCAAUAGGAGCUUGCUCCUGUUGGUUAGCGGCGGACGGGUGAGUAACACGUGGGCAACCUGCCUGUAAGACUGGGAUAACACCGGGAAACCGGUGCUAAUACCGGAUAAUCCUUUUCCUCUCAUGAGGAAAAGCUGAAAGACGGUUUCGGCUGUCACUUACCGAUGGGCCCGCGGCGCCUUAGCUAGUUGGUGAGGGAACGGCUCACCAAGGCGACGAUGCGUAGCCGACCUGGGAGGGUGCGCGGCCACACUGGGGAUGAGACACGGCCCAGACUCCUACGGGAGGCAGCAGUAGGGAAUCUUCAACAAUGGACGAAAGUCUGAUGGAGCAACGCCGCGUGAGCGAUGAAGGCCUUCGGGUCGUAAAGCUCUGUUGUUAGGGAAGAACAAGUACCGGAGUAACUGCCGGUACCUUGACGGUACCUAACCAGAAAGCCACGGCUAACUACGUGCCAGCCGCCGCGGUAAGAC
rnacentral:rRNA from 1 species